rnacentral:rRNA from 2 species
AUUCCCCUAGUAACGGCGAGUGAAGCGGGAACAGCUCAAAUUUGAAAUCUGGCCCUUGGGUCCGAGUUGUAAUUUGCAGAGGAUGCUUUUGGUGCGGUGCCUUCCGAGUUCCCUGGAACGGGACGCCUUAGAGGGUGAGAGCCCCGUACGGUUGGCCACCAAGCCUGUGUAAAGCUCCUUCGACGAGUCGAGUAGUUUGGGAAUGCUGCUCAAAAUGGGAGGUAUAUUUCUUCUAAAGCUAAAUACUGGCCAGAGACCGAUAGCGCACAAGUAGAGUGAUCGAAAGAUGAAAAGCACUUUGAAAAGAGGGUUAAAUAGCACGUGAAAUUGUUGAAAGGGAAGGAUUUAUGACCAGACUUUUUCUGGGGGGAUCAUCCGGUGUUCUCACCGGUGCACUUCCCCCAGUUGAGGCCAGCAUCGGUUUCUGCCGGGGGAUAAAAGCUUUGGGAAUGUGGCUCCUUCGGGAGUGUUAUAGCCCGUUGCAUAAUACCCUGGCGGGGACCGAGGUUCGCGCAUUGCAAGGAUGCUGGCGUAAUGGUUAUUAAUCACCCGUCUUGAAACACGGACCAAGGAGUCGAACAUUUGUGCGAGUGUUUGGGUGUUAAACCCUCACGCGUAAUGAAAGUGAACGGAGGUGAGAGCCUUUAGGGGUGCAUCAUCGACCGAUCCUGAUGUCUUCGGAUGGAUUUGAGUAAGAGCAUAACUGUUCGGACCCGAAAGAUGGUGAACUAUGCGUGGAUAGGGUGAAGCCAGAGGAAACUCUGGUGGAGGCUCGCAGCGGUUCUGACGUGCAAAUCGAUCGUCAAAUCUGCGCAUGGGGGCGAAAGACUAAUCGA